UAUUAUCUCCGACGAAGAAGAAAUUUUGGAAUCGGCCAUUGAACUGCAAAUUUCUGAUCGGAGCACCUUUCGAAGCUUCAACCAGUGACGAUGAGAGCUUCAGAGCUUUCAACUCCAACCAAUCCGACGACUACUGUAGAAUGCAAGGACAGGCCCCGUAAACCGCCGUUCAGGCCUGCUAAAGAUGAUACCAAACUUGUUCUCCAAGAUCCGAUACGGAGGUCAGAUCCAAUUGAGACAGAGGAAGCCGUGCUCCGACCACCUCCCUUCCAAUUCUCUGUUUCGGAAUCAAAGAACUCUUCUAAAAUGGGAUGAAAAUGUUGUUGUUGUUGUUUUUUUUUUUUUCUUUAAGAUUCUGUCUGUUCUUGGUUCAUGCUGUGAUCACGUGGUGGAAUUUCGAACAAUUAAUGAAAAUAGAAAGUCCAGUUUUUUCUACUCGAGACCGAAUAGUAAUUCCACUAUCCAGUUGAAUCAAA